UAUACGUUUUCCAUAUUUCUUUCAACCAUUCUAACAAGGUUCUUGGGCUUUACAGGUGCUGUCAACUAUGGAAAUAAAAGGUGUGCAUUCUCCACAGUUGAAAUAUGAAAGUUGGACACUAGAUACAUACAUUCAGAAAUCGGCCCUCCCUGGAAUAGCAAGGAUCUUAGAAAGCCCUGCUCAACUAGUGAAAUUAGUCAUAACCAUGUCCCUUUUCAGCCUUAAUGAGUAUUUUUUGUACAAUCUCACCCACCUUUUCGAUUUUGACGGGGGCAACUACUGGACAUCUCAAAAUAGGAGUUUUUAAGUGUUUGAUGAUGCAUCAUCUCAAAAUAGUUAAGUUUGCUGGUUUAAGAUGGUAUUACUAUGACUUCCACUGCUCUUUUAUACAAUUUCUGCUGAAGAAUGCAAGGGUGCUGCAAAAGAUGGUUAUCGAUACUAAGGGUAUACUGUAAGGAACUUUUCCAAGCAGCUCAAAAGUUUUUAGUUUUCCAAGAUCCUCUCCGGAUGCAGAGUUAUGUUCAAUAAGUGAAAUGGACAACUCAAGUAAUUCACUUUCUCAGUGAAACAUGGUGUUUUUUUUUUUUUUCCCUUUGAUUGUUAUUUUGUUAUGUUUAUCUUUUGAAGCAAGCUAUGUUUUAUUGGAUAAUAUUUUGUUAAUAGAAGAUAGAACUUUAGCAACUUUGUCAUGUUUGAGCAGUAGUUUAUUGGAUAUAGUUGUUUAAGG